CCUACGGGGGGCAGCAGUGAGGAAUAUUGGUCAAUGGCCGUAAGGCUGAACCAGCCACGUAGCGUGAGGGAAGACUGCCCUAUGGGUUGUAAACCUCUUUUAUGCGGGGAUCAAGGUGUCCACGUGUGGAUGUUUGCAGGUACCGCAUGAAUAAGGACCGGCUAAUUCCGUGCCAGCAGCCGCGGUAAUACGGAAGGUCCGGGCAUUAUCCGGAUUUAUUGGGUGUAAAGGGAGCUUAGGCCGGUCUUUAAGCGUGCCGGGAAAUUUUGUGGCUCAACCAAGAGAGUGCGGGGCGAACGGGAGACCUUGAGUGCGCGGAAGGCAAGUGGAAUUCGUGGGGUAGCGGUGAAAUGCUUAGAUA
rnacentral:rRNA from 1 species